GAUACCGCAUGGCUUCUCCACCCUCUGGCAAGUCGCGACAACGGACGUCGCUUCACUCCCCGCAACAGACUCCACGUAGCAGAUCGCAGUGAUGGCCAUGAUUUCACUCCACUAUGUUUCAUAACAAAUUUCUCCUGACCCCAAACGGCCCACUGCCAGAUGGUUACAAACGUCGCUAUCAUCUAUUGCACCUUCCGCCUAUAAAAAGGGGACCCCAGAUACGUUAUUCUCUAAGCUCUCAUUUCCUAUCUCAAAACUCUGCUAAAUUUUUCGUUCGAGCACACCAUUCUUGUUGAGGCAAAGAAUUGACUUGAGCAUUGGAGGAUCUUACCGGAGCACCCCCACAUCCGGUUUAGACUUCCUUUGCAGGUCCCGGCGGCGACCGUGGCUCCCUCGACUCCAGCUUCUCCGACGCAGGCGGAUUUUUGCACCAACAUGUACCAAUCAAAGUAACCAUCUAGCAAUGGUAUCCGACAUCCAAAUAGGUCAAAUGUAUGCAAAGCAACACUCAAGAACCUAUUUGAAUAUAGUUAUCAUAUAAUAUAUCCCUUUGACCCUUAAUGCCAAGAUGACUUAGAGUUUAAACUGUCAACUCUC
rnacentral:lncRNA from 1 species